GAUGAACGCUGGCGGCAUGCUUUACACAUGCAAGUCGGGCGGGAAGUGGUGUUUCCAGUGUCGGACGGGUGAGUAACGCGUAAGAGCCUGCCCUUGGGAGGGGAACAACAGCUGGAUACCGCUCCGAAUACCCCGCAGGCUGAGGAUCGAAAGGAGGACUCCGCCCAAGGAGGGGCUCGCGUCUGAUUAGCUAGUUGGUGAGGUAAUAGCUUACCAAGGCCGUGAUCAGUAGCUGUUCCGAGAGGAUGAUCAGCCACACUCGGACUGAGACCAGGACCAGACGACUACGGGAGGCAGGAGAAGGGCAGAUCCAGCCAUGGGGGGUAGGCUGACAGGGCAAUGGGGCGUGAAAGUAAAAGGCCUAGGGGUGAAGAGCUUCAUGUCAUGGCCAAGAAAUAAUGACGGUAUCUGGAGAAUAAGCAUCGGCUAACUCUGUG
rnacentral:rRNA from 1 species